rnacentral:rRNA from 1 species
AACGUAGGACGCGAGCGUUAUCCGGAGUUACUGGGCGUCAAGCGCGGGCAGGCGGUCUGACAAGUCUGAUGUGAAAUCUCCGGGCUUAACCGGGAGAGGCCAUUGGAAACUGACAGGCUGGAGGGCAGUAGAGGUAGGCGGAAUUCCGGGUGGAGUGGUGAAAUGCGUAGAGAUCCGGAGGAACACCAGAGGCGAAGGCGGCCUACUGGGCUGCACCUGACGCUGAGCCGCGAAAGCCAGGGGAGCGAACGGG